GAAAUAUUUAGAAUUAGCUUUUAAAAGAAUAUUAGCUAUCAACUGGGAUAGAUAGGACUUGUUAUUGCAUCGAUAAAUUGAUGCGCAGAAUAGAAAUGGUGGCCAUAUAGCAAAAGCACCCCUCUUACGCAGCAUUUGCCGCUCUUGAAGUUUCGCUCGGCGAUUUCCGGCGCCGAUCGGGAGAGAAAAACCUGCCAGAACAGGAUGACUCAUGCCUUUCGGGCCGCACUUGUCGCAUACUGUGAAAGCCGAAUCCUUCGGCAUCCCUCAUCUUUGAGAUAUAUCGACCCGUAGAUCCAACUUUGUAUCGCUUCGCUCACGGUUUCCUUUGCCACGCGAUUCCAUUUUCCGAUAUAAGUACUUGAUUUUUUUGUCGGCUAGGCAAGGGAAACCAUGAGGGUCAUUCGUGACGUCGCAGCGACUGCAUGUUCCACCACAUCCGUCGACGCGCAAUAUCGGGAAUAAACGCAAUUUAAUUGCGCAUCUUUCUCUCUUUCCCUCCCUUUCCCUCCUGCGAUUUACACCGUCGAUAAAUCGAUAGAUUUCGUCGAUAUGUAGCGCUCCACCACGAAGGAUGAUGAAAUCGCUCGCGGACUUACGACAUCACGCCUUCGUGUAUUCUCCACGCAUCCCUGCUCCGAAAUCUUUGAGAUGACCGAUGAAAAGUUCUGGAGAAUUCCAGAGAGUUCUAGAAAGAUGCCGGUGAAUCAUUUCAGAUCAUCAACCUCGAAUAUCUCGGACUCACGGAUAAUCAAUGCUGUAAUAAGGACGUGUGUGUGUGCCUCCCGCUGACUUUCGAUGACAAAAGUAUUAUGAUCCUGGAUUAUCUAAUUUAACAAAAGUGACUAAAUGUGGACGGCUACUGUUUGACGAAAAGGUAUCUAACGCUCUUUUCAUCGUAUGUAUUUUUUUGUAAAACUUCUCGUAUUAUAUUUUUAUUCAUUAUAAACAAUGAA